GAGUUUGAUCGUGGCUCAGGAUGAACGCUGGCGGCGUGCCUAAUACAUGCAAGUCGAGCGAACGGACGAGAAGCUUGCUUCUCUGAUGUUAGCGGCGGACGGGUGAGUAACACGUGGAUAACCUACCUAUAAGACUGGGAUAACUUCGGGAAACCGGAGCUAAUACCGGAUAAUAUUUUGAACCGCAUGGUUCAAAAGUGAAAGACGGUCUUGCUGUCACUUAUAGAUGGAUCCGCGCUGCAUUAGCUAGUUGGUAAGGUAACGGCUUACCAAGGCAACGAUGCAUAGCCGACCUGAGAGGGUGAUCGGCCACACUGGAACUGAGACACGGUCCAGACUCCUACGGGAGGCAGCAGUAGGGAAUCUUCCGCAAUGGGCGAAAGCCUGACGGAGCAACACCGCGUGAGUGAUGAAGGUCUUCGGAUCGUAAAACUCUGUUAUUAGGGAAGAACAUAUGUGUAAGUAACUGUGCACAUCUUGACGGUACCUAAUCAG
rnacentral:rRNA from 1 species